rnacentral:rRNA from 1 species
AUUGAACGCUGGCGGCAUGCCUUACACAUGCAAGUCGAACGGUAGCGGGCCUUCGGGUGCCGACGAGUGGCGAACGGGUGAGUAAUAUAUCGGAACGUACCUUUCAGUGGGGGAUAACGUAGCGAAAGUUACGCUAAUACCGCAUAUUCUGUGCGCAGGAAAGCAGGGGACCUUCGGGCCUUGCGCUGAUUGAGCGGCCGAUAUCAGAUUAGCUAGUUGGUGAGGUAAAGGAUCACCAAGGCGACGGUCUGUAGCGGGUCUGAGAGGAUGAUCCGCCACACUGGAACUGAGACACGGUCCAGACUCCUACGGGAGGCAGCGGUGGGGAAUUUUGGACAAUGGGGGCAACCCUGAUCCAGCCAUGCCGCGUGAGUGAAGAAGGCCUUCGGGUUGUAAAGCUCUUUCGGCCGGGAAGAAAUCGUAUGGGCUAAUACCCUGUGCGGAUGACGGUACCGGCAUAAGAAGCACCGGCUAACUACGUGCCAGCCGCCGCCGUAACAC